CUCUGAAUAACACCCCACAUGUACAUAUUUUUUUUAAAGUAGACAACCCAGGGUAUUCAAUAUGGGGUAUGUCCAGUCUUUUUUAGCAGCCACUUAGUCGAAAACACUGGCCAAAGUAAGCAUUCAUAUUUGUUUGUGUGUGAAAAAAGUAAAAAAACUAAAUUGAACGCUAAUUUUGGCCAGUGUUUGUGACCAAGUGGUUAC